GGCUAACGCUGGCGGCGUGUCUUAGCCAUGCAAGUCGAGCGGACUUAUGGGGUAACUUAUAAGUCAGCGGCGGACGGCGGAGUAACACGUAGCUAACCUACCCUCUGGACGGGGAUAACCUACCGAAAGGUGGGCUAAUACCCGAUGUAGUCAUCCUGUAUAGGGGUGAUGAAAGGUGGGCUUCUGUUUACAAGCUCAUGCUGGAGGAGGGGGCUGCGGCCUAUCAGGUAGUUGGUAGGGUAAUAGCCUACCAAGCCGAUGACGGGUAGCCGGCCUGAGAGGGUGACCGGCCACACUGGGACUGAGACACGGCCCAGACUCCUACGGGAGGCAGCAGUGGGGAAUAUUGGACAAUGGGCGAAAGCCUGAUCCAGCAACGCCGCGUGAGGGAUGACGGCCUUCGGGUUGUAAACCCUCCUUUCAGUACGGGACGAAGCGAAAGUGACGGUACCUACUAGAAGAAGGACCGGCCAACUACGUG
rnacentral:rRNA from 1 species